rnacentral:lncRNA from 1 species
AUGGCGAAAAAUAAUAAUAAAAGAGAUAACAUUAAAAAUAUACGAAGCUUGCUACGGCAAUUUCACGGGUCCCAGACAAUAAUGAAAAUUACAAUAAAGUGCAAUAUAUGAGUAGAAUUGGUACCCUAAAAGAAGAGCUCCCUUUGUCCCAAGAGCGAUUUAUUCAUAAACUGUAACAAUCACGAUAAUGCGUACCUUGUAUACAGAAAUGACUUGCCCAAUAAAACCAGAUGGAAGAAGACAAAAAGAUCGAUUAACUUGGGCUCGCUACCAGUUAGUCAGUCAAUCAUUAGGUAAUGAGGCCGUGUUUGGAAGCCAGCGUAACUGGACGUCGAUUGUCCGUAUAAAUGUAUUGCCGUCCGCAUAGAAUAGGGCUGCCGAUCUUAUCGUCACGGUUUCAUGUAAUGCUAAUGGACGCGUGGUAGCCCAAUAUGUACUUUAAACGAAAAGGUUAAUAUGAUAGCGAGAUAAUGCGCGGACAUUAAGGAGCCGGACGAGGAACGGCGGACAAAUUAUGAAGAGAACCGUCUCGAAGAAACGAGAUCUCGUUUGCUGCGAACCCUUCAAGUGGAAUUGGAAACUGAAUGUUCUCGAUUAAAAAUAUGAAAUCGACAAGUUUUUCAAGUUCGCGAAGACGAU